rnacentral:sRNA from 1 species
UUUUGCUUGCUGAUUGGGGAAAAAAAUUCCGUGCACAAAAGGAAUUUAAAAAAUAUGCCCUCAAGGAUGAUGAUGCUGAAACUGGAUUGACCGAUGGAGAAGAAAAAGAAGAACCCAAAGAAGAGGAGAAACUGGGAAAACUUCAGUAUUCACUGGAUUAUGAUUUCCAAAAUAACCAGCUGCUGGUAGGGAUCAUUCAGGCUGCCGAACUGCCAGCCUUGGACAUGGGGGGCACAUCUGAUCCUUACGUGAAAGUGUUUCUGCUACCUGAUAAGAAGAAGAAAUUUGAGACAAAAGUCCACCGAAAAACCCUUAAUCCUGUCUUCAAUGAGCAAUUUACUUUCAAGGUACCAUACUCGGAAUUGGGUGGCAAAACCCUGGUGAUGGCUGUAUAUGAUUUUGAUCGUUUCUCUAAGCAUGACAUCAUUGGAGAAUUUAAAGUCCCUAUGAACACAGUGGAUUUUGGCCAUGUAACUGAGGAAUGGCGUGACCUGCAAAGUGCUGAGAAGGAAGAG